UUUGUGGAGAGUUUGAUCCUGGCUCAGGAUGAACGCUGGCGGCGUGCUUAACACAUGCAAGUCGAACGGAAAGGAUCCCUUCGGGGAUUACUCGAGUGGCGAACGGGUGAGUAACACGUGGGUGAUCUGCCCUGCACUUCGGGAUAAGCCUGGGAAACUGGGUCUAAUACCGGAUAGGACGAUGGUUUGGAUGCCGUUGUGGAAAGUUUUUUCGGUGUGGGAUGAGCUCGCGGCCUAUCAGCUUGUUGGUGGGGUAAUGGCCUACCAAGGCGUCGACGGGUAGCCGGCCUGAGAGGGUGUACGGCCACAUUGGGACUGAGAUA
rnacentral:rRNA from 1 species